GACUCCCCUGGACCCAGCUGUGUCUCCAUGAUGAGUGGAUGGAACAUCCUCUAUGGAACAUCCUUUUAACUUUAAAGAUGGAAAUCAGUCUAUUGAGAAAAGAAGAGUCCAGCAGCAGAGAGCAGACUCCCCUGGACCCAGCUGUGUCUCCAUGAAGAGUGACCACUCUAUGAAUCAUCCUGCUGAGUUGAAAGAUGGAAAUCAGUCUAUUGAGAAGAGCCCAGAGCAGCAGCAGAGAGCAGACUCCCCUGGACCCAGCUGUGUCUCCAUGAAGAGUGACCACUCUAUGAAUCAUCCUGCUGAGUUGAAAGAUGGAAAUCAGUCUAUUGAGAAAAGCCCAGAGCAGCAGCAGAGAGCAGACUCCCCUGGACCCAGCUGUGUCUCCAUGAAGAGUGACCACUCUAUGAAUCAUCCUGCUGAGUUGAAAGAUGGAAAUCAGUCUAUUGAGAAAAG
ensembl:lncRNA